rnacentral:rRNA from 1 species
UACGUAGGGGGCGAGCGUUGUCCGGAGUUACUGGGCGUAAAGGGCAUGCAGGCGGUCGGACGCGUGUGGUGUGACAGCGCAGGGCUUCACCCUGCGAGGCUACGACAAACGGUCUGACUUGAGGACGCGAGAGGGACACGGAAUUCCGGGUGGAGUGGUGAAAUGCGUAGAGAUCCGGAGGAACACCGAAGGCGAAGGCAGUGUCCUGGCGCGUGACUGACGCUGAGGUGCGAAAGCCAGGGGAG